rnacentral:tRNA from 1 species
ACUUAUAUAAUAUAAAAAUUAUAUUUGACUUCCAAUCAAAAAAUCUGUCCCACAGUUUAAGUA